rnacentral:rRNA from 3 species
UGGGGAAUUUUGCACAAUGGGGGAAACCCUGAUGCAGCGACGCCGCGUGAUUUAGAAGGCCUUCGGGUUGUAAAAAUCUUUUUUAUGGGAUGAAAAUGACAGUACCAUAAGAAUAAGGUCCGGCUAAAUACGUGCCAGCAGCCGCGGUAAUACGUAUGGACCGAGCGUUGUCCGGAAUCAUUGGGCGUAAAGGGUACGUAGGCGGCCUAGUAAGUUAGAAGUGAAAUAAUAUAGCUCAACUAUAUAAAGCUUUUAAAACUGUUAGGCUUGAGAGAUGAAAGGGAAAGUGGAAUUCCUAGUGUAGCGGUGAAAUGCGCAGAUAUUAGGAAGAAUACCGGUGGCGAAGGCGACUUUCUGGUCAUCAUCUGACGCUGAGGUACGAAAGCGUGGGUAGCAAACAGG